rnacentral:rRNA from 1 species
GACGAACGCUGGCGGCGUGCUUAACACAUGCAAGUCGAACGAAGUGGCGAACGGGUGAGUAACGCGUAAUCAACCUGCCCUUCAGAGGGGGACAACAGUUGGAAACGACUGCUAAUACCGCAUACUGAAGGAGGGGAUUGCGUCUGAUUAGCUAGUUGGGGGGGUAACGGCCCACCAAGGCGAUGAUCAGUAGCCGGGUGUAGAGGAUGAACGGCCACAUUGGGACUGAGACACGGCCCAGACUCCGAAGGGAGGCAGCAGUGGGGAAUCUUCCGAAAUGGACGGAAGUCUGACGGAGCAACUGCGCGGGAGGGAUGACGGCCUUUGGGUUGUAAAGCUCUGUUAAGCGGGACGCGGUACCGGAAGAGAAAGCCACGGCUAACUACGUGCCAGCAGCCGCGGUAAUUC